rnacentral:misc_RNA from 1 species
UCCGGUUUGUCACCGGCAGUAUCGCAUGAGUCCCCAACUUAAUGCUGGCAACAUGCGACGGGGGUUGCGCUCGUUGCGGGACUUAACCCAACAUCUCACGACACGAGCUGACGACAACCAUGCACCACCCGUAUACCGCCCUUGCGGACCCCGUAUCUCUACGAGUUUUCGGUAUAUGUCAAGCCUUGGUAAGGUUCUUCGCGUUGCGUCGAAUUAAACCACAUGCUCCGCUGCUUGUGCGGGUCCCCGUCAAUUCCUUUGAGUUUUAGCCUUGCGGCCGUACUCCCCAGGCGGGGCACUUAAUGCGUUAGCUUCGGCACGGACGAAGUCGACACCGCCCACACCUAGCACCCAUCGUUUACGGCGUGGACUAC